UCAUAUUAGUUACUUUCGAUUAAACGCUUGAUUCUUUUUUAAAUUUGGUUAAUUUUGUAGAGUUAUUCAUGAUUAUGGGUGUCAUAAAUCUGAAUUCUGUCUUAGUUGAUUUAGAAUCCGAAACUACAUGGGUUGAAGGUGGGGCAACCUCUGGAUUAACUUUGUGGGGGAGAUGGUGGAGAUGUAUGAUAAAAUUUGGUCAAAGGAAAUUCAAAUUAACAAAAGUAAGUUUGUAAUGCAUGAUCUUAUAAUUAUGUUCAUCCUAACAGAACUCUCUCAAGUACUUCAAUAUUGGAGACGUGGUUCACUAUAUUGAUGAAGCUAAUUUUAACUAUAAAAGAGAUCAGCAUUUCUUUGAUCCUCCUAGCAGUGAAAACUUUGAUAAGGAUGAGGUUCUACAACUGGGGUGAUAGCUUUCGUUUGGCACAUUCAAACAUGGUAACACCCAAGGAAAGUCAUCGAAUGCUUGCAGCUUUGUUUGGUAGAUUCAUUGAUUUUGGCUGAAUGUACCCAUUAGUUAUGUCAUCCCAACAAAAUAAAAUCAUAUCAUCUUUAAAAAAUGAAAAUAUCUUAUUCUGUACUAUAUCAUAUCCUGUAUCAUCAUAACAGUCUAGCUAUGUUUUUCAGAUUUCAUCCCCAAGUUUAUCUUAUAUUUUCAGUAGAUAUCGGUGAAUGGUGGAUUCUUCUUCUGCUGCUAAUCAAAUGAACUGCAGGAGUAUACAGUGCAAGUUGUAGUCACUUCAUUUGAACAAGCAGCAGGAUUUGGUCAAGCAAAAACAUAUACAGCUCUAGCUUUAAAACCUUCUGGAAGCAAUUCCUUUGUCUAAAAGAUACCAUGUCCGCAAAUUCGGGGAACUUGCAAGAGUUUGAGGGAAGAAGCUAGUAUUAAUGGAGGGAAAAUCGAAAGUUUAAUACUUUUUUUUUUGAUCAUCAACAACGGCAACAACAGGCACUUCAGAAUUCUUGGAGGGAAAUUCGAAGGUUCAAUACUUAUAUUCUUGGUCACAUAGAAGGUUGACUGAUAGAGCAGUUUCCGUUCUUUGUACCUGGAUAUUUGAACAUAUUUCCCCCCGACUCCGACUAGGUCAAAGCUGGAAAGGAUUACUAGGAGCCAUGCAAUGAUUAAAUUCGUGGCAAGUACGGACUCGGUUUCACAAGGGGGACAAAGCUCUGCUUCAAUGUGUACAAGAUUGAAUGUCAAAAGUAGUAAGGAAAGCUUGAGACGUGUAAGACCAAGUUUGGAGCGCGAGAAUAGAGAAGCAGCAGAUGACACUGCGGUUUUAAAGACCAAGUUCAGUAAGUUGGAUAGCAAGCAACCUUGCAGAUUGAAGAAUUAGGUGGUUCUAAAGGUAAGCUCCAUUGUUUCUAUGUUGCGGAAUGUUAAUGGCAAUGCAUUUGCUUUGGGAAGCAACCUUGCAGAUUAAAGAAUUAGGUGGUUCUAAAGGUUGGGCUUAUGUUUUCAGUCUUUAAACAAGAAGUAGAAAUGCUUAUCAAGGACAAGUCAUAUAGCAUCAAUUGGUUUAAUUUAAAACCGGAUGCUCCAAUGGUUAUUAGGUCAAACCAAGUUUUUCGAGUUGAACUAUCAUAUAUAUACUAUCAUGCUGAUUAGGUGUGUUGUUGAGAAUCAAAUUGGAAAAAGAACUUGGUUAUUGAUGGCUGCAAUGCUAGCAUCCUGUUUAUGUAUUUGGAUGCAAAGAUUCAGUUUUGCAAAUCCAAGGAAUGAUGGCAUCUCAGAUAAUGCAUGAAUUAGGACUGCCAGUGCGUCCAAAUGGUAUGGAGCAGUUUGGAGUCGGAUCUUCCUUAAAAAUAAUUCACAUGAAAGGUAUAUAAUACCUGUCUGCUGCCAAAAGACUUUGGGGGAAUUAAUAAUUGCACUUGGAGGGAACUGUGUACAUUUCCCGCCAACUGUUAUGUGAAUGCAUGCCUUAUUUUAUGUUUACAUCUUUGUUAGAGCGUAGAACUCCUUAGUAAGCAUGAAUGUGUACGGUUAAAUGAAGCGAAGAAGAAUAUGGGAUAUUAGAUGAUAUUUAUGCCAUUUUCAAGGAUAAUUAGGAUGUUUUGGGUCAGUAUAUAAAGGAUUUCUGCAAUAACCGUGCUGUCAAAAUUAAGAUCCUUAGCUCGCCAAAAGGAUAAGGGCAAAAAUUUGUCAAUGAAAUUACUAUUGAACUGUGUAAUUAACUAUUUUGCACAUA